rnacentral:rRNA from 1 species
AAACGACUCUCGGCAACGGAUAUCUUGGCUCUCGCAUCGAUGAAGAACGCAGCAAAAUGCGAUACUUGGUGUGAAUUGCAGAAUCCCGUGAACCAUCGAGUUUUUGAACGCAAGUUGCGCCCGAAGCCAUUAUGCCGAGGGCACGUCUGCCUGGGCGUCACGCACGGCGUCGCCCUCCACCUCCCCCAGCGAUGGAAUCGGGGGUGUUGGGACGGAUGUUGGCCUCCCGUGCGCAGCCGCGCGCGGCCGGCACAAACGUGACCCGGCAUCGACGUUCGUCGCGACAAUUGGUGGUUGAAGACCUCAACUCGCGCGUUGUCGUGCUCGAACGCGUCGUUCCGCCGGGAUUACCCCAGGGCGCCUCGCGCGCCUCGACGGCGACCCCAGGUCAGGCGGGAUCACCCGCUGAGUUUAAGCAUAUCAAUAAGCGGAGGAAAAGAAACUUACGAGGAUUCCCCUAGUAACGGCGAGCGAACCGGGAAAAGCCCA